CCAAGGAGUCUGGCAGGCAAACAAGUAUUUGAGUGCAAAACCCAAAUGCAAAGCGAAAGCAAAAAAAUUGCAGCAAUGCAAAUAAUUGAGCGUUCCUUUUUUUGCAAAAGGAUAGGCAGAAGUUUGUCUGCCGGGACCCGAAAGAUGGUGAACUAUGCCUGAGUAGAGUGAAGUCAGGGGAAACCCUGAUGGAGGCUCGAAGCGUUGCUGACGUGCAAAUCGCUCGUCAAACUUGGGCAUAGGGGCGAAAGACUAAUCGAACCAUCUAGUAGCUGGUUCCCUGCGAAGUUUCCCCCAGGAUAGCAAAGGCAACGCAGUUUGAUUUGGUAAAGAUAAUGAUUAGAGGAACUCGGGAUUUUAUAUUCUGGGCCUAUUCUCAAACUUUGAACGAGUCAUAGGGGUGGUUUCUUCACUGAACCACCCCAUAAAUGCUAGCCUUUAGUGGGCUGUUUUUGGUAAGCAGAAACGGCGAUGCGGGUUAAACCGGACGCCAGGUUAAGGUGCCUAAAGAUUGCUAAAAUAGAUUUGAAAGGCGUUAGUUCAUUAUGACAGCUGGACGGUGGUCACGGAGGUUGAAAUCCGCUAAGAAGUGUGUCACAACUUACCAGUCGAAUGAACUAGCCCUUAAAAUGGAUGGCGCUAAAGCAGUCUACCGAAACCUGGCCAUUUUGGUAUAUUCUGCCAAAAUGAGUAGCAGGGCAUGGGGUUUGUGUAGAAGCGUAGAUGUGAAUUUGCGUGAAACACUCCCCAGUGCAGAUCUUGGUGAUAGUAGCAAAUACUUGAAUGAUAAAUUCGAGGGCUGAAGUGGAGAAAGGUUCCAUGAGAACAGUAUUUGGUCAUGGGUUAGUCGAUCCUAAGACUACACGUAAAAAAUUCCAAAAUGGUCUAAACCCAGUGUAGUCGAAAGGGAAUCGGGCUAAUAUUCCCGAACCAAAACCCCUAAUUGGCAACAGUUCUUCUUCAAAGACGUUUGUAGCUGCAGCGAGAAGAGUCUUCUCUUCUUUUUAACAGGUGGUUUUCCUUGCAAACAGAUUGUCUGGAGGAAAGGAAAACUGUCUGGAAUAGCAUUGAAUUUUUAUCAAUGUUCGCAAAGCAGUUAUAAACACAUAAAAAUUUGAAGAAAUUGGGGUUUUGAUCGUACUCAUAACCGCAUCAGGUCUCCAAGGUGAACAGCCUCUAGCCAAUGGAAUAAUGCAGGUAAGGGAAGUCGGCAAAUUUGAUCCGUAACUUCGGGAAAUGGACUGGCUCUUGGGACUGGGUGAUGGCGAAGCCUCGUUUGUAUCCCCCUAGAUUGAAAUGAUUCUUUGAAUCAGAUCAUUUUGGUGAGGACGCAUUCUUUGUUUAGCCGCACAUGUAUCAGUCUGCCAAGAACUGAAACGGACAAGGGGAAUCCGACUGUGUAAUUACAACAAAGCAUUGCGACGGUCAUAACUGAUGUUGACGCAAUGUGAUUUCUGCCCAGUGCUCUGAAUGUUAACGAAAUGAAAAUUUCUGAAGCGCGGGUUAACGGCGGGAGUAACUAUGACUCUCUUAAGGUAGCCAAAUGCCUUGUCAUUUUAUUGGUGACGCGCAUGAAUGGAACAACGAGAUUCCCACUGUCCCUACCUGCGAUCCAGCGAAACCACAGCCAAGGGAAC
rnacentral:rRNA from 1 species